UUGAGGUUUUCUGACAAAUUUAUACUUUUUGCAAUCUCAUUACUCUUCUGGGAACUUUUCUUAUAAAUGCUGUAUUCUGGUCACAACCAUGUUUCAAAGUGAUGCUCAUGAGCAAUAUUAAAAGUAGCUAUGAUGGAGUAGCGCUCUUAACAUGGAAUCUGUAAAUAUAUCAGUGUCACGUUGUUCUCAUUUUUAAAAUCUUAAUAAUGAUAUUUAUACUUCAUUAUUCUAUUCAUAGAGCUGUCAAAGUUCUGAAUGAGUUGUUGAAUAUUAUGAAUAAAAAAAUUGAGUCUUAAUAGGAGCUAGGAAUCCAGAAGCCUGCUUUUCUUAAGUCUACUCUUUCAUGCGUUUUUGAGACUUUAACCGGGGAACUGAAUGCUUAAGUACAAGGAACAUGCCUUCUUAGUUCUAGGAAUGAAGGAAAAGGAGUAGGACUAGGAUCAGGAGGUCUAAUCAAUGAAGGCAAGCAGGCAAAGGAAUGGAUGCUAUGAAUGCUCUUUUUCCCUAAUAUUGGUCUUCUGGUUUUUCAGGUUUUACUGGUGAAAAUAUGAUUCAAGUCCUGGGGAAGGGGCUGAGAUGAGUAAUACCUAUAUAGUGCUUUGAGACUAUGAAAUCAAGCAAUACCAUCAAGGGUUUGUUGCUAAAGAAGCAAAGCUGUCGGAUUUCUCUGUAUUCUGGGGCACUCUACUGUACAAUCGCAUAUGCCUCUAAUGUAUUAGUAACAUGAAAAUUCUUUAUUGUCUGGGCAAUUUCUGCAAAUAGAAGUAUUAUUUGAACACAAUAUUUACCUUAUUGAUCAAGUAUUCCGCAAAUUGCUCCCAGAAGGUACAGCAGGAAGCUUUUGUAAUCAAAAUCUUCUUUUGCAGUAGUGCUUUGUUAUAUUCUUAAAUUCGUUGACACCUGCCUUAAUGAUGAUAGAGGUUCAGAUUCAAUAUUGUUUGUAGUCGAUGUUGAAUCUAAAAAAAAACAUUGUUUGUAGUCUUGCUGAGCUACACCUUUCAAAUUCAGCUGACAAAUUUACUAAAGAAAAAAUUUGAAAGAUAUAACACUCUUCAAAUAUAAAUGAAAAGCGCAUGCAGGUACCUUAUUUUUGCUGUAUGCCAUUUUCAUAGAUAACGACAGCAUGUCUAUCGUGGGUUUGCUGGGCUACUGGCAAUGAGCCAAUGAGAUAUCCAAUAAAUCUUUUACCAGCAAUAGGACAUCAAGUUUUCUGCCGUUAGAAGGAAAAAAAAUAAAUGAA